rnacentral:RNase_P_RNA from 2 species
CGCGGCCAGCGGAAAGCUAAGCAAAAUAUUUUUAUUUUGUUAGGAAAGUCCGGACUUCCUUCGGCGGACAAGUUUUCUUGUCUGGCGCAUGAAAGGGCAGUGGGUAACGCCCACCCUCUGUUUCGGAUUGAGCGGAAAUUGGCCAUUUUAUAAUGUCCGCCCGCUCCGGAACAGAGAGGGAAAGUGCCACAGAGACAAUACUACGGCCGCUUAAUCGCGGCCGGAAAGGUGAAAAGAGGCGGGAGGUGGGAAUUGAUAUCUAUCAAUUUUCGCUACCCGGCUCGUCCGCCGGUGACGGCGGAACGCGGUAAACCCUGCCUGAAGCAAGAGCAAACCUGUCCGAUUUUUUCGGGCAGACGAAAAGUGGCUCGCGCGAGCCGGGCGGCAACGUCCGGCCAAGAUAAAUGGCUUUCCUUCCCGCGGUUUGGCCGCGCGGAAGACAGAAUCCGGCUUACAGCUGGCCGCGCCAA